GCCAUCAGCCUCAUUCCCCUCCUGUGUGCUCUGCAGCCUUCAUUUGGGGCUGGCAGGGAAGGGGUUCAGGUGCUGCUCUUCAGCAGAAGCCUGAGCUGUGUGCCCUGAGGAGUGCCAGGGCAGGGACAGCUGGCCUGGCUGAAGGGAUUCCCUCACAUAUUUAAUUAAUUUGCUCCAGCAAACUUGCUUGACUGACCCCAGUCUGUGUGGAGGUUGGAGUUGUGCAGGUUUAGGGAGACCACAUCUCAGGCAAUUAAACCAAAGAAGGGAAAGAAACAAAUACUGAUGAAACAGCACAAUAGAUCUCGGAUAAGUUAGGAUACCUUAAUAGAAAGAUUUAUACAAAAAUGUGCCCAGAUUUCUGUAUUUGAGGAAGGAGGCUGAUGGCACCUGGCUGUUUGUUCCUGCAAGCAGAGAGCACAUUUUCAGCAGUAUCCUGGAAUCACAGAGCUUUAUAAGAACAUGAAUGCUGUGACCCAUUUUAAUGAGGAUUGUGUUUCAAGUGCUAUCUAUCUGGAUUUUUGGCAUGGAGUCAGCAGGAGCACAAGAAGGGCCAACAUUUUUUGUUGAGGUGUUUUGAGCACCAUAAAUAAUUCAGAACUUUAUUUCUAUGUUGCUCAUGCACAGUCAUCACUUGGGAACCACUAAAAAUAAUAGUGAGGGUGAUGAUUAGCUUCUGGCAUGACUGCAUGAAUUGUGAUGAGGUUUGACUGGGUUCUAGAUGCCAGCAAAUGUUUACAAAUGCAGCCCUUGAACUGUGUUUUCUCCAUGUGGUUAUUUUCCAGUAUAUCCUGAACUCCUGCCCACAUAAUGGCUGUAUUGUCUUUGAAGGAUGGAAUUCUGCCCUGCUGGGCUGUGGCUGCAGUGAGACAAGCACAGGGCUGUUCUGCACCCUGCGACUUCUGCCUGAUUGUUGUUACAUUGGUUCAGAAAAAUUAGGGUUUUUAACAGACAGUCCUAUGGGAUGUGUCUGUGCUUGGAUGAAACACCCAUGUGAAGGAUUGGGAAGAGAUGCACAAUUCAUGUCUGCAGCACUUUGAAAGGUGUUUGUCAGGGUAAACUGAACCCAGGUUGGGAUGUCCUGCCCUGGAUGAGAGCAGGGCCACUGCUGUUUAAUGAUGAGUGCUGAUUCCCUUAGCACAGGGAGCUGGUGUGGCUGCCCAGGGAUGGGAUAGCACAGCCUCUGGGCAUUGCCCAGGAGCUCUCAUUUUUCCCCAUGGAAGUGUUGCUUUUCCAUCUCAGACCAUGUUUGGUUUUAGUGUGUUAGCCAUGGAAAACCGUAGUUUGUUUUUAGUGGGUUAGCCAUGGCAAACCAUAAUUUGGUUUUAGUUGGUUGGCCACGGAAGACCAUAGUUCUCAGGAGAGCUUUAAUGCAAGAGAAAAGCCUUUGGGGGGGCAAGCUAACUCUGUGAGGACUGUAAAACCUGCAUGUGUUUGGUAACUAACCUCAGCACACAGUCUGGGGGAGGCCUGUGGAAGGAAAUUGAGAAAUGCCUUGCAGAUGGCAAACUUCAGCCAAGCCAGUUCCCAAAACCAGGCUGCUACAGAAUGAAGCCCUCAAGGUCAUGUCAAAGACAUAUGAAACUGCAUGGGAAUAAACCCAAACUACAGUCUGAAAGGUGGUGAGAAAGCUCCAGCUGUGUAAGAAACCCAAGAUGAUGUGAUACUUUCCAUGAAGAAGAAAAGCCAUGUUAGUGAGAGCAAAGCUUUCAAAAUAAUCUCUUCCUCUGUGCCUUUCCUCUCCUUUCUGCUCUCACAGCAAUAGCCAUUAGAUGAUCUGUUACCCACUGGCUUCAAACUAUGCAGGGAUCCCUGUGAGGAAGGGCAGACAUUCCCACAGCAAUUCCAGGGGGCUUAGCAGAGCCUGCUCACUCUGAUGCUUUUCUUCAAGCUUUUCUCUCUUUCCCUUUGCUUGGUGCUCUUGCAGAGACAGCCUGCUCUUAGUACAUGUACUUAUUUCCAGCUUUUCCACUGGCAGCACAUAUUCAAUCAGAAUUUCCUAUUAGUUCAGCAACCCACAGCAAAAGUGAAGGCCAAUAUUACUGGAAUGUGAUAAUGGUCCUGUGCACAGGCUUUAAAAACUUGCUGUAGCAGUUUGCAUGCUGUUACCUAAAAUCUCUAAACUUUUAUGUACAGUCUAACCAAGAAGGAUGAUAAAUGCCUCCACCCUCAGGCUGGGAUGGAGAAACAUCUGUUAGGAAUAUAUUUGGGGGGUUGAGGGCAUGUAUUAGGUGACUUCUCAAGCACUAGUGUUCCUUCAGAGGGGAACAAAGGAGGGGCCAUGGUGUCAGUGUUUCUCUUCCCUCCUUGUAUGAUUGUGGCUGUUCCCAAUCUCUGUGCCAAGGAGAGGAGCCAUUCCCUCUACUCCUAUUGCACACCAGCUCCCAGCUUUUCUCCCUGCCCUGACUGAAGGUGCAAAUAAAUCCAAGCCCUCUCCUGAUUACGAAAGCCAGCCUUUCACCAGGGGACAGCAGUGUCAUGCUGCCUGCACAUUGCUGCUCCUUUGUGUCUGCUGGCACUUCCCCAAUUGCCCUGAUCUGUCUGAAGAACUGGUUGUGUUUGUCCAGCACUGCUCCUGUCCUCAGCAGAUCCUCUCCCUGUCACGGAGGAGUUUGGGCUGUUGUCCUCCUUCACUGCCCAGCUCUUCAGGCCGAGAGCAGCUGUGGGCUGGGAUGGUGAUGCACAGGCAUGCAGAGAUGUAGAAUUGGCUUGAGGAGCCUCCAGACAGGUGAGGCAGUCAGAGCCCUCUGUGAUGUCUGCCAGAGCCCUGCUGCCAGGAAGGAGCAGGGGCUUGGAAGGGCGAGUGAGUGGGAGCAGAGGAAUUGGGAAUAUCCUUUCAUGGAUUUAAUUUCAUGAGGAAGUUAAAGGCAGCAGUUUCUUAGCCAAAAUAGAGGACAGCACAAGAGAAGGCUGUGCAGGAUGCUCAAGGACACAGGAACCAAGUGUAGUUACCAUCCUGCUAAAACCAGCAGCAGGUACAGCCCCUCCUAGAUGUGUGCUGAGGUGGGCUGGUGGCAUUUCAGAGACCAGGGCAUGGCUGUGUGGGGCUACAGACAGGGCUGGGAACAUGGGCCCUGAUAGUUCUUGUGCUCUGAUAACUGUCCAUCCUAAGAAAAGACUGAGAUGGGAAAGGGAAUCCUGUAAGUAUUGGCAAAAAAUCUCUUCUGUGCUCGUACCCUGAGCCAUCUUGAUGUCAAUGUUGCUGUGUUCAGCUGUGGCUCUCUUGGAGUUUAGGGCUAUGUGAAUGCAGCAUGGUUUAUCUCAGGAGGAAAAAAUGCAUUAUUGUUAGCCUAUUAUUUAUCUUGUUAAUUAUAGUAACUGAUCCAGUAUUAACUUUGCACUGGAGCUGUAAGUUGUGAGUUUGCAGCUGGGGAAAAUCCUGACUCAAAGUCACAACGAUGUGAAACACUAAUAACUGGAUGAGGUUUUUAUUUCUUGAGAGAUCACCAGUGAUUUGAAUGGUGGUGACAAGUAACUGGUUCACCUGGCUGUGUUUGUGGAACAGCUGAAAAACUAAAGCUGUUCUAGAAAGUAAAGGGAUUUUCCCUUAAUGAAUAUUUUAGCGAUUCAUGUGUAAUUAUUUGAACUUUCUAAAUUGUAAAUUAUGCUGCUACAAAUUCAUCCUUUCUAGUUAUGCAGGAGCUUCAUGGUGUUUUAGAGUGCAUUAACUCCCUUGAAAAUCCCUCACUCAUUCCUGUGCAAUUUAUUCUCCUGUUCUCUGUAAUGAGUUAAUCUAUUUUGAAUGAAGUUGAGUUGCUUGCUGUAUGACUACACAAAAAGCUGCUUCCAGCUCCCACAUCAGCUGGCUGGCACAGCCCCACAGCCAUUUCCAGAGCGUUAUUGCUGCUUCGUGCUCAGUCUGCACAGGAGCUGAGGGUAGGUUUUACCUCUCUGGGAUUGCUGAGAGCAAAGACAGACAAACCUGAGAGUUUGUCUUGAGAGCUGUGCCAGAUUGAGGUGUACAAUUGCCUUUAAAAUCCUUGCUGGAUUUAGCAUUUACCAUUUCCCU